AACGAACGCUGGCGGCAGGCCUAACACAUGCAAGUCGAGCGCGUGUAGCAAUACACGAGCGGCGCACGGGUGAGUAACGCGUGGGAAUCUGCCCUACAGUGGGGAACAACCACGGGAAACUGUGGCUAAUACCGCAUACGUCCUUCGGGAGAAAGGCUUCGGCCGCUGUAGGAGGAGCCCGCGUCCGAUUAGCUAGUUGGUGAGGUAAUGGCUCACCAAGGCGACGAUCGGUAACUGGUCUGAGAGGACGACCAGUCACACUGGGACUGAGACACGGCCCAGACUCCUACGGGAGGCAGCAGUGGGGAGUAUUGGACAAUGGGGGAAACCCUGAUCCAGCCAUGCCGCGUGAGUGAUGAAGGCCUUCGGGUUGUAAAGCUCUUUUAGCGGGGAAGAUAAUGACGGUACCCGCAGAAUAAGCCCCGGCUAACUUCGUGCCAGCAGCCGCGGUAAGACGAAGGGGGCUAGCGUUGUUCGGAAUUACUGGGCGUAAAGGGCGCGCAGGCGGCUUUGCAAGUCAGGCGUUAAAGACCCAGGCUCAACCUGGGGAAUGCGCUUGAUACUGCAGAGCUUGAGAUCGGAAGAGGAGAGUGGAAUUCCCAGUGUAGAGGUGAAAUUCGUAGAUAUUGGGAAGAACACCAGUGGCGAAGGCGGCUCUCUGGUCCGAUC
rnacentral:rRNA from 1 species